GACGAACGCUGGCGGCGUGCUUAACACAUGCAAGUCGAACGGAAAGGCCCUGCUUGUGGGGGGUGCUCGAGUGGCGAACGGGUGAGUAACACGUGAGUAACCUGCCCUUGACUUUGGGAUAACUUCAGGAAACUGGGGCUAAUACCGGAUAGGAGCUCCUGCUGCAUGGUGGGGGUGGGAAAGUUUCGGCGGUUGGGGAUGGACUCGCGGCUUAUCAGCUUGUUGGUGGGGUAGUGGCUUACCAAGGCUUUGACGGGUAGCCGGCCUGAGAGGGUGACCGGCCACAUUGGGACUGAGAUACGGCCCAGACUCCUACGGGAGGCAGCAGUGGGGAAUCUUGCACAAUGGGCGGAAGCCUGAUGCAGCAACGCCGCGUGCGGGAUGACGGCCUUCGGGUUGUAAACCGCUUUCGCCUGUGACGAAGCGUGAGUGACGGUAAUGGGUAAAGAAGCACCGGCUAACUACGUG
rnacentral:rRNA from 1 species